AAAAGAUCUCGUAAGGCAAGGUGCUUAACACAAUUCAAAAGUUGGAUAGCCCAUCGCAACAAGACAAGAGCAAAUACAGGCAACUAGCCAAACAGAAAUCAAAUGUACAGAUCUGGAAAGCAAAGCACCACCCACAGUUGACAAUUGUGGACUGAUAUAAAUGUAUCAAGUCACAAACCUGCACAACAGCACAAGAGCAAAUACAGGUAUCUGAUCAUCUUUAAAUAUCGUGUGGACAGGACUGCAGACGUUUCAAAAGAUGCCUUCACCGCAACAUUUUCUACAUUCCUUGCAACUUUUUCUGAUCAGUUACAGUGUAUUAGCCUUUUCAUUAAGUCUUUUGUUAAUUGUACUGGAGGAAUUGAUUGAACCAAAUCUUUCAUGCCCAUGCAGAAAUGACUGGAAUAAAAAGCUAAUAGCACUCAUCUUCAUUGGACCUUUAGUUUUAACAUUUGCUAUAAUGUUCGCCCUUUUGAGACCCUAUAAACAUCAAUGCGAUCAUUGUACAUGUUCAACUAAGGCUAAGGUUUUGGAUUGUGUGAUUAAAUUUGUCAAUUGUCUGAUUCCCCCUGUUAUGUGGAUCAUCAUCUUGCUAAUUGAUGGUGAUUAUCUGGCUUGUAGCUUGACAACAUGGGAAGGAAAUUAUGUUUUUGAUAACGAGAUAAACAUAAAGUGGUGUCAACCCACUCAACUGGCCUUUAAAGGGAAUACAAUUGAAAAAAGACUGGAGUAUCAGAAGAACAUCUGGAUAUCUCAGGUCUGUGGUUAUUCUGUGCUCAUUGUGUUCUCUUUUAUCAUCAUUUGUUUUGAUGUUUGUAAAUACUUUUUUGUAAAAGCGGAUGGAGCACAGGGUGGAGCACAGGGUGAGGCACAGGGUGGAGCACAGGGUGGAGCACAGGGUGGAGCACAUGGUGGAGCACAGCCUGGAGCACAGCCUGGAGCACAGCGUGGGGCACAGGAUGAAGCACAGGGAGGAGCACAUGAUGGGGAGGGUGCAGCAUUUCUCUCUGCCUCUGAAGGACAUGAAAUGUCUACUUCACGCAGAAGUAAUAAUUAAUAAAAUAAAAUGUAAAUCUGUAUGUUGUUCUCUGGAUUUUACACAAUUGUGCUAUUUUAGAGGGUAAGCAUAAACUACAAAAUACAAACAGCAAAAUUAGCUAUUCUUGCUUUUUUCCUGUUAUCUUUUGUUUUAAUGUUUAUAUUUUUAAGGCUCUGUAAAUGUGACUGUAAAAGUGUUUAAAGUGUGAUUGACAAAUAGUCUUAGUUUAGCCAAAAUUUUUCAAAUAACUAAAAUUACUUAAAUUACCUGACUAAUCCAAUCCUUUUAAUGGUCUUUAGACUUGAUUUCUUCUGUUUAUUUUUUAUGCUUGCAUUUAAAUGCCCUGUAGAUUAGACUAUAAGAUUUUUUUCAAUUUUAUUUUUUUUAUUUGUCUGUAUGACCAAAGUAAAAGUUGUUUUCUGCUUAAACUGUUAUAUGAAUCUAAUUAUAUUUUUGAUGCAUAUUUGUUCCCCAAAUUUUAAUUCAUAUUCUGGUCAUUGUCUUUUGCUCUGUAACAUUUUUCUUGUGUGCAUCUGUGACUUUUAAGGUAAUUCUUUGUGUGGUGGAUUGUUCUUUAAUGUUAGUUUAUAGGAUACAUAAACUUGGUGGAUAUAGAAGAAGUCACUCAAGUCAAUAGAAAUAUUACAAUGUCUCAGACAAUAAUCUUACAGACAAUAAAAUAAUUAUCCUAAUUAUCUUUAUUCAGGAUUUAUGU